GUUCUGCCUGACAGGAGCACAUAUACUAAAACUGGAAUGAUACAGAGAAGAUUAGCAUGGCCCCUGUGCAAGGAUGACAUCUUUGAGUAACACUGGUUCUUU